ACCCUCUCAGGAUCGUACCUGGCGAGUUCUUAGUACUCUACCAGUCUCAGCUAUGAGAGGAAGAGUCAAGCGGAGACCUACCCUUUCCAUUCCUAGCUUGGGCAGUGGCUAGCAAGUGGAAGGCAAUCUGCUACAGGU
rfam:Ornithorhynchus anatinus chromosome 3, whole genome shotgun sequence.